rnacentral:rRNA from 1 species
AUGAGUACAGUGGCGAACGGGUGAGUAACACGUGACUAACCUACCCUCUUGUGGGGGAUACCCCGGGAAACCGGGGCUAAUACCGCAUAACAUCGCGAGGUGAAAUUCCUCGUGAUCAAAGGAGCAAUUCGCGGGAGGAGGGGGUCGCGCCUGAUUAGCUAGUUGGUGAGGUAACGGCUCACCAAGGCAAUGAUCAGUAGCCGGCCUGAGAGGGCGCACGGCCACACUGGAACUGAAACACGGUCCAGACUCCUACGGGAGGCAGCAGUGGGGAAUUUUGCACAAUGGGGGAAACCCUGAUGCAGCAACGCCGCGUGGAGGAUGAAGCCCCUUGGGGCGUAAACUCCUUUCGAUCGGGACGAUGAUGACGGUCCCGGAUGAAGAAGCACCGGUUAACUCUGUGCCAGCAGCCGCGGUAAU